rnacentral:rRNA from 1 species
AGAGUUUGAUCAUGGCUCAGAACGAACGCUGGCGGCGUGGAUAAGACAUGCAAGUCGAACGGGACUAUUUCUAGUAGCAAUACCGGGAAUAGUUUAGUGGCGAACGGGUGCGUAACACGUGGGCAACCUGCCAAGAAGUGGGGGAUAGCUCGCCGAAAGGNNAAUUAAUACCGCAUGUGAUCAGGAAAGACAUCUUCCCAAAAUUAAAGUCGGGGCAACCUGACGCUUCUUGUGGGGCCCGCGGCCUAUCAGCUUGUUGGUGAGGUAACGGCUCACCAAGGCGGUGACGGGUAGCUGGUCUGAGAGGACGACCAGCCACACUGGGACUGAGACACGGCCCAGACACCUACGGGUGGCAGCAGUCGAGAAUUUUUCUCAAUGGGGGAAACCCUGAAGGAGCGACGCCGCGUGGAGGAUGAAGGUCUUCGGAUUGUAAACUCCUGUCAUUUGGGAACAAUGCGUGACGGUUAACUGCCGUCACGUUGAUAGUACCAGAAGAGGAAGAGACGGCUAACUCUGUGCCAGCAGCCGCGGUAAUACAGAGGUCUCAAGCGUUGUUCGGAUUCAUUGGGCGUAAAGGGUGCGUAGGCGGCGCGGUAAGUCGGGUGUGAAAUCUCGGGGCUUAACUCCGAAACUGCAUUCGAUACUGCCGUGCUUGAGGACUGGAGAGGAGACUGGAAUUUACGGUGUAGCAGUGAAAUGCGUAGAUAUCGUAAGGAAGACCAGUGGCGAAGGCGGGUCUCUAGACAGUUCCUGACGCUGAAGUACGAAGGCCAGGGGAGCAACGGGAUUAGAUACCCCAGUAGUCC